CCAACAGAGUAAAGGGGUGGGGGCUUAAAACUGUUUGUUAUUUUUUGUAGUUGUUGUUGUUUUAAAUAAAACAUAAUUUAAAUAAAUAAAUAAUCCUCACUUUUCUUAGAAUUUUUACUAGACUGCUUGGUCACGUGUCACCUGCUAUUUUUCUCAGCGCAUUUAGAAAUGAACCAAUCACAUUCGUUUGUGAUCAUUAUUUGAUUUCUUCUGGAAGUUCUGGGAGUUUCAGGUUCUGAAUCCAUAUGAUUAAUAGAUGUAAUCGGUUAUAUUUCGUUGCGUGCAUACAUUUCCAGUAAGACGAAGGGCAAAAACGUCCUGAGAUUUAAAUGUGGAGUUGGUUUUCGAGCCCCCGAGCCGAGCGCCCCCUGGUGGAACAUGGAAGAUUUGUUUGUGUAACAAAUGAAGGAUGUGUGUUUUUGGAGUGUCAGCCCACCCCUCUGAAAGAGCCCCUGACACUGGCUGCUGUGUCACAGGUGGCGCUGUUGCAGAAGACUCUAACAGAGCCAAAUGUGGAGCAGGAGGAGAGCCAGAUACUCCAGUAAACCUCCAUCCAUCCUGGGCUCAGCUGCUGAAGCUCAGCUGUUCUUCAUAAUCUGUUUUCGCUGCAGU